AUUGAACGCUGGCGGCAGGCCUAACACAUGCAAGUCGAGCGGAGCGGCGGACGGGUGCGUAAUGACUAGGAAUCUGCCUGGUAGUGGGGGAUAACGUCCGGCAACGGGCGCUAAUACCGCAUACUAUCAGAUGAGACUAGGUCGGAUUAGCUCGUUGGUGGGGUAAAGGCCUACCAAGGCGACGAUCCGUAACUGGUCUGAGAGGAUGAUCAGUAACACUGUAACUGAGACACGGUCCAGACCCCUACGUGAGGCAGCAGUGGGGAAUAUUGGGCAAUGGGCGAAAGCCUGAUCCAGCCAUGCCGCGUGUGUGAAGAAGGUCUUCGGAUUGUAAAGUACUUUAAGUUGUGAGGCGUUACCAACAGAAUAAGCACCGGCUAACUUCGUGCCAGCAGCCGCGGUAAUUC
rnacentral:rRNA from 1 species